UACAGAGGUCUCAAGCGUUGUUCGGAUUCAUUGGGCGUAAAGGGCGCGUAGGCGGCGAAGUAAGUCGGGUGUGAAAUCUCAGAGCUCAACUCUGAAACUGCACUCGAUACUGCUCUGCUAGAGGACUGGAGAGGAGAUUGGAAUUCACGGUGUAGCAGUGAAAUGCGUAGAGAUCGUGAGGAAGACCAGUGGCGAAGGCGGAUCUCUGGACAGUUCCUGACGCUGAGGCGCGAAGGCCAGGGGAGCAAACGGG
rnacentral:rRNA from 1 species